rnacentral:rRNA from 1 species
CGGGGGGGCGAAGCGUUGUUCGGAAUUACUGGGCGUAAAGGGCUCGUAGGCGGCCAACUAAGUCCGACGUGAAAUCCCCAGGCUUAACCUGGGAACUGCGUCGGAUACUGGAUGGCUUGAAUUCGGGAGAGGGAUGCAGAAUUCCAGGUGUAGCGGUGAAAUGCGUAGAUAUCUGGAGGAAUACCGGUGGCGAAGGCGGCAUCCUGGACCGACAUUGACGCUGAGUGAGCGAAAGCUAGGGGAGCAAACGGGAUUAGAUACCCCGGUAGUCCUAGCCCUAAACGAUGAAUGCUUGGUGUGGCGGGUAUCGAUCCCUGCCGUGCCGAAGCUAACGCAUUAAGCAUUCCGCCUGGGGAGUACGGUCGCAAGGCUG